AUGUCAGUGUACGGUAGUUUGGAUAGUAAAUGCAUACAUGGAUGGAUUACUAGACCAGUCUACCACUACUACCAUCACCACCACUACUGCCACCACCACGACCACCACCACGACCACCACCACCACCACCACGACGACGACCACCACCACGACGACCACCACCACGACCACCACCACCACGACCACCACCACGACCACCACCACGACCACCACCACGACCACCACCACGACCACCACCACGACCACCACCACGACGACCACCACCACGACCACCACCACGACCACCACCACACGACCACCACCACGACCACCACCACGACCACCACCACCACGACGACCACCACCACGACCACCACCACCACGACCACCACCACCACGACCACCACCACCACGACCACCACCACCACGACCACCACCACCACGACCACCACCACGACCACCACCACUACUACGACCACCACCACCACUACUACGACCACCACCACUACUACGACCACCACCACUACUACGACCACCACCACUACUACGACCACCAGUCCUCCACCACCACAACCACCAGUCCUCCACCACCACAACCACCAGUCCUCCACCACAACCACCAGUCCUCCACCACCAGUCCUCAACCACCAGUCCUCCACCACCAGUCCUCCACCAGUCCUCCACCACCAGUCCUCCACCACCACCACCACCAGUCCUCCCCCACUACCACCACCACCAGUCCUCCCCCACUACCACCACCACCAGUCCUCCCCCACUACCACCAGUCCCCCACCACCACCACUCCCCCCCCACCACCACCACCAGUCCCCCAUCACCACCACCAGUCCCCCACCACCAGUCCACCGCCACCAGUCCACCGCCACCAGUCCACCGCCACCAGUCCACCGCCACCAGUCCACCGCCACCAGUCCACCGCCACCAGUCCACUACUGCCACCACCACGACCACCACCACUACCACGACCACCACCACUACCACGACCACCACCACUACCACGACCACCACCACUACCACGACCACCACCACUACCACGACCACCACCACUACUACGACCACCACCACUACUACGACCACCACCACUACUACGACCACCACCACUACUACGACCACCAGUCCUCCACCACAACCACCAGUCCUCCACCACAACCACCAGUCCUCCACCACAACCACCAGUCCUCCACCACAACCACCAGUCCUCAACCACCAGUCCUCAACCACCAGUCCUCCACCACCAGUCCUCCACCACCAGUCCUCCACCACCAGUCCACCACCACCAGUCCUCCACCACCAGUCCACCACCACCAGUCCUCCCCCACUACCACCACCACCAGUCCUCCCCCACUACCACCACUCCCCCAUCACCACCACCACUCCCCCAUCACCACCACCAGUCCCCCAUCACCACCACCAGUCCCCCAUCACCGCCACCAGUCCACCGCCACCAGUCCACCGCCACCUCCACCAGUCCUCCUCCACCAGUCCUCCACCUCCACCAGUCCACCUCCACCAGUCCUCCUCCACCAGUCCUCCACCUCCACCAGUCCUCCUCCACCACCUCCACCAGUCCUCCUCCACCACCUCCACCAGUCCUCCACCAGUCCUCCACCACCACCUCCACCAGUCCUCCACCUCCACCAGUCCUCCACCUCCACCAGUCCUCCACCUCCACCAGUCCUCCACCACCACCAGUCCACCACCACCAGUCCACCACCACCAGUCCACCACCACCAGUCCACCACCACCAGUCCACCACCACCAGUCCACCACCACCAGUCCACCACCACCAGUCCACCACCACCAGUCCUCCACCACCACCUCCACCAGUCCUCCACCUCCACCAGUCCACCACCACCACCAUCAGUCCCCCACCACCAGUCCACCAGUCCUCCCCACCACCAGUCCACCAGUCCUCCCCCACCACCACCAGUCCUCCCCCACCACCAGUCCACCAGUCCUCCCCCACCACCAGUCCACCAGUCCUCCCCCACCACCAGUCCACCAGUCGUCCCCCACCACCAGUCCACCAGUCGUCCCCCACCACCAGUCCACCAGUCGUCCCCCACCACCAGUCCACCAGUCGUCCCCCACCACCAGUCCACCAGUCGUCCCCCACCACCAGUCCACCAGUCGUCCCCCACCACCAGUCCACCAGUCGUCCCCCACCACCAGUCCACCAGUCGUCCCCCACCACCAGUCCACCAGUCCUCCCCCACCACCAGUCCACCAGUCCUCCCCCACCACCAGUCCACCAGUCCUCCCCCACCACCAGUCGUCCCCCACCACCAGUCGUCCCCCACCACCAGUCCACCAGUCGUCCCCCACCACCAGUCGUCCCCCACCACCAGUCCACCAGUCGUCCCCCACCACCAGUCCACCAGUCGUCCCCCACCACCAGUCCACCAGUCGUCCCCCACCACCAGUCCACCAGUCGUCCCCCACCACCAGUCCACCAGUCGUCCCCCACCACCAGUCCACCAGUCGUCCCCCACCACCAGUCCACCAGUCGUCCCCCACCACCAGUCCACCAGUCGUCCCCCACCACCAGUCCACCAGUCGUCCCCCACCACCAGUCCACCAGUCGUCCCCCACCACCAGUCCACCAGUCGUCCCCCACCACCAGUCCACCAGUCGUCCCCCACCACCUCCACCAGUCCUCCCCCACCACCUCCACCAGUCCUCCACCACCACCACCAGUCCUCCACCACCACCACCAGUCCUCCACCACCACCACCAGUCCUCCACCACCACCACCAGUCCUCCACCACCACCACCAGUCCUCCACCACCACCACCAGUCCUCCACCACCACCAGUCCACCAGUCCUCCCCCACCACCACCAGUCCUCCCCCACCACCACCAGUCCACCAGUCCUCCCCCACCACCACCAGUCCUCCCCCACCACCAGUCCACCAGUCGUCCACCAGUCGUCCCCCACCACCAGUCCACCAGUCGUCCCCCACCACCAGUCCACCAGUCGUCCCCCACCACCAGUCCACCAGUCCUCCCCCACCACCAGUCCACCAGUCGUCCCCCACCACCAGUCCACCAGUCGUCCCCCACCACCAGUCCACCAGUCGUCCCCCACCACCAGUCCACCAGUCGUCCCCCACCACCAGUCCACCAGUCGUCCCCCACCACCAGUCCACCAGUCGUCCCCCACCACCAGUCCACCAGUCGUCCCCCACCACCAGUCCACCAGUCGUCCCCCACCACCAGUCCACCAGUCGUCCCCCACCACCAGUCCACCAGUCGUCCCCCACCACCAGUCCACCAGUCGUCCCCCACCACCAGUCCACCAGUCGUCCCCCACCACCAGUCCACCAGUCGUCCCCCACCACCAGUCCACCAGUCGUCCCCCACCACCAGUCCACCAGUCGUCCCCCACCACCAGUCCACCAGUCGUCCCCCACCACCUCCACCAGUCCUCCCCCACCACCUCCACCAGUCCUCCCCCACCACCUCCACCACCACCACCAGUCCUCCACCACCACCACCAGUCCUCCACCACCACCACCAGUCCUCCACCACCACCACCAGUCCUCCACCACCACCACCAGUCCUCCACCACCACCACCAGUCCUCCACCCCCUCCACCAGUCCUCCACCCCCUCCACCAGUCCUCCACCCCCUCCACCAGUCCUCCACCCCCUCCACCAGUCCUCCACCCCCUCCACCAGUCCUCCACCCCCUCCACCAGUCCACCCCCUCCACCAGUCCUCCCCCUCCACCAGUCCUCCCCCUCCACCAGUCCUCCACCUCCACCAGUCCUCCACCACCACCAGUCCUCCACCACCACCAGUCCUCCACCACCACCACCAGUCCUCCACCACCACCACCAGUCCUCCACCACCACCACCAGUCCCCACCACCACCAGUCCUCCACCACCACCACCAGUCCUCCACCACCACCACCAGUCCUCCACCACCACAGUAG
ensembl:lncRNA